rnacentral:lncRNA from 1 species
UUUAAAUCUCAAACACGCCCACCUGGAAGCAAAUAGACCAAGUGCUUAACAGGAGAGUGUAAAACCUACAGCUGGUAAAUGUUUAUCUAAGUCAUCAAACCCAUUUGUAAGAAAGGAGGCAUAGUAGUCAAGUAGGAUUGGUAGUAUUAGCUGAAGUUGGGGCAGACUUUACAAGUAAACCAAGUGUAUUUGUACAGAGAUAUUUUUCAGAAGUGUUUGCAUUGCAAGUGACAUGUGGCUGACAGGAACUUGGAGAAAUGGGAUACGAAGUGAAUGCUGUAGUUACCACAGCAUCAUAUUUAUCAAAAGGCUUAAGUGACCGCUACAUCAGUAGAGUCUGUGUCGAUAUGGUACUGCCCAGAGUGCACCGGACUUCCAGAAAGGCAUGCUAUCGUGCUGAAAUUCUAAGGAGACACUCAUUGAAUCUCCUGGGAGAGAAAGAAGAAAUGAAGUCCUAG